GCUCCGAUAGCUCAGUUGGUUAGAGCGUGGGUCUUAUGAGCCCAAGGUCGCGGGUUCGACCCCCGCUUGGAGCA
rfam:Ichthyophthirius multifiliis unplaced genomic scaffold scaff_1120509249663, whole genome shotgun sequence.